rnacentral:lncRNA from 1 species
AAGGGCUGGGUGUCCCAUUCUUCCACACAUCCAAAUUGUUCGAUGGUUUUUUCUACAUCAAGCAAAAGAGAGAAAGGCCGCAGUUCAAGUGUUGACAACACAGUCAGAGAUCAACGUGUGAUCAAAGGUUCAAAAGGCUGAGAUUCUACUUGAAGAAGAAGGAUCUAUCAUGAGAAAAAAAAUUCAAGGUUGAUCUCGAUCGAUACCUUAAA